rnacentral:RNase_P_RNA from 1 species
CAAGUAUGCCAGAUGGUCGCGGGCACGGUACGAAAGAAAGUGUCUGAGGAAAGUCCGGGCUCCGCAGGGCAGGAUGCCGGUUAACGGCCGGUGAAGGUGACUUCAAGGAAAGUGCAACAGAAAACAACCGCCCGCUUUUUGAGGGUAAGGGUGAAAAGGCGAGGUAAGAGCUCACCGCCGCUGUGGUAACACGGCGGGCAGUGUAAACCCCAUCCGGAGCAACACCGCGAAAGGGACGCUAAGUUGGCCCGACAGUCCCAAAGGUGGCUAAAGAUGCGCGGUAACGCGUAUUCGCAGAUAGAUGACCAUCCGAUACAGAACCCGGCUUACGGCAUGCUUGCAUU